rnacentral:rRNA from 1 species
GGGGAAUCUUGCGCAAUGGGCGAAAGCCUGACGCAGCGACGCCGCGUGAGCGAUGAAGGCCUUCGGGUUGUAAAGCUCUGUGGGGAGGGAAGAAUAAGUGGAGGCCAAUACCCUCCAUGAUGACGGUACCUCCUUAGCCAGCACCGGCUAACUCUGUGCCAGCAGCCGCGGUAAUACAGAGGGUGCAAACGUUGUUCGGAAUUACUGGGCGUAAAGCGCGUGUAGGCGGCUAUGCAAGUCGGAUGUGAAAUCCCGCGGCUCAACCGUGGAAGUGCACUCGAUACUGCAAAGCUCGAGUCCUGGAGAGGAAGGUGGAAUGCUUGGUGUAGAGGUGAAAUUCGUAGAUAUCAAGCGGAACACCGGUGGCGAAGGCGGCCUUCUGGACAGUAACUGACGCUGAGACGCGAAAGCGUGGGGAGCAAAC